rnacentral:lncRNA from 1 species
AUGGGGUUAAUCUCAUCUUGAUCCACACACAGACUUCAUAAGUACUUGACUGUACCUAAUAGCCUUUCAUCACUGUAUUAGAAAUCUAGAUAGUCUGGCACCAAAACACAGUGAGUUAUUUAUAAGUCACUAUGGUAAUCUCAGGUUUAAGGGAUACUUAUACCCAUAUACUUCGUGAGUAGCUCUUGACAGCAGAAUGCUCGACUAGUGAGUCACCUAUUUAGUGAUGAUGUACUCC